rnacentral:lncRNA from 1 species
GGAUGAGGAGCCCCCGGUGCUCCAGCCCAGCGCGGAGCUGCUUCCCCCGAGCCCUGUGCCAGGUGAACCUAAUGUCCACAGAAACAAGGAGCUCAUCUCAGCAUAACCAAGAAGGACGAACGUCGUCCACAACAACUGUGGCUGAUGGCAUUCUGGCUAAGAAAGGGAUAGCAAAGAUAUUCAAAGGCAUAGAAAUGGUGCUCGAUGAAUCAACAACUGUGUAUGGUGGCAGUCGGGCUAAGAAAGGCAGAUCAAAGAUAUUCAAAGGAGUAGAAAUGAUAAUUGAAACUAUCAUAUGUGCGGUUGCUAGGAGUGUGAUUGAGAAAAUCCUUGCAAUUGCAUCUGACGAAUCAAGAAAGAGAAAUGAGGAGGAGACCACAAAUGCCGUGGAAUCUAGGACAGAUGAAACCUCUCAGGAGCUCAUAAAAACAAUGAAAGCCUUGCAGGAAUAUCUCAAAGAAUCACAGGAGUCCGGACAGUGUGAGUGUCAGCACAGCAGAGCACAGCUGGAGGGGAACCGAGGAGGUUUGUCCUAAAUUAUCCAAGAAUUUCCUUCCCAUAUGCCAGAGGCACUCUUCUCUGUCGGAAUGGAGGGAAUAUUUUCCUGCCUGUCCUGAGAUGUCCUGAUCCCCAGGAGAGCACUGCUUUUAACCUUCAUCCAUGGAGAAAGCUUCCAAGGCUUUGAGAUGAAUUGGAAUCUACGAGUGUGCGAAGUAGAUAGUAGUAUAGUUUAUCACAUGGUGAAAAACUUAAAUUUUGGGGGUUUUAGUAUGGAGGUGGAUUGGAGACAAGAUGGAGAAUUUCAGGCAUUGUCUGAUCUCCUUGUUCUUCAUCUACUCCAUUUUCUGCAGUGUUGGGAGCACAGGGUGAUUGAUUAGAAAGAACCGCAAUGCAGGUGUUGUGUGGACAGAAAAAUAAAUAGUUAUUGGUAGAAAGGAAGAAAUA